UCAAAACAGCGGACUUCGGUCUUUGCUGCACCCUUGUCUUUCGCGCACCGAAUUGUUUCCUCGGCGGGCUUGCCUGCCGGUUGGACAUUAUCAAAACCUUUUUGUAGUUGCAAUCAGCGUCAGAAAAAUCAUAAUUAUUA
rnacentral:misc_RNA from 1 species